rnacentral:tRNA from 1 species
GCCCAAGUGGCGGAAUUGGUAGACGCGCUCGUUUCAGGGGCGAGUUUUCGUAAGAAAGUGCAGGUUCGACUCCUGUCUUGGGCA